UACAGAGGGUGCAAGCGUUAAUCGGAAUUACUGGGCGUAAAGCGUGCGUAGACGGUUGCGUAAGUCAGAUGUGAAAGCCCCGGGCUCAACCUGGGAAUUGCAUUUGAGACUGCGUAGCUAGGGUGCGGAAGAGGGAAGCGGAAUUUCCGGUGUAGCGGUGAAAUGCGUAGAUAUUGGGAAGAACACCGGUGGCGAAGGCGGCGACCUGGUCCAUUACUGACGCUGAGGCGCGAAAGCGUGGGGAGCAAACAGG
rnacentral:rRNA from 1 species